AUGGCCUGCUAAGAGCUCAGCUAUGCUGUCAGCUGGGGGACAACUCUGUGAGGCUUGAUGACCACAGACUUUAAACCAAAGACCGAUCCAUGGUGUUCUUCUAUUCACAGCCAGAAAACAGAGGUCUGGCAACCAAAGGGUGAAGUCGAAAUGGCUCUUCUCACUUUUACUUCUAGCUUAUCUGGUUUUUGCCUCUUGCAUUGCUUUGUCACAUGCCUUCUCAAGACUUGUUACUCAAGGGAUACCAGACAAAUCCAUUUCAUAGCUUCAAUUACUAAGGAGCUUGAACUGGCAGUGACUCCAUUGUGCAAUUUGGAACACAAGAAAAAGCAUGGAUUUUGAAGUCAGACAAAUCAUUUACUUCGGUUGCAUUGGUGUGUGGUUCAAAUAACAGAUGUCACUGAACUGUUGACUUGGGUAGAUGCCCUGUCUUCCUUAUUAAACUGUGUCUUACUUUGUACCUUAGUAGCUAAUGCAGUGCUUUGAUUCUAGCAGAUGCUUAAUAAAUGCUACUCAUGAUAAA
ensembl:lncRNA novel transcript